rnacentral:rRNA from 1 species
CAGCCGCGGGAAUACGUAGGGUGCAAGCGUUAAUCGGAAUUACUGGGCGUAAAGCGUGCGCAGGCGGUUUUGUAAGACAGAGGUGAAAUCCCCGGGCUCAACCUGGGAACUGCCUUUGUGACUGCAAGGCUGGAGUGCGGCAGAGGGGGAUGGAAUUCCGCGUGUAGCAGUGUAAUGCGUAGAUUUGCGGAGGAACACCGAUGGCGAAGGCAAUCCCCUGGGCCUGCACUGUCGCUCAUGCACGAAAGCGUGGGGGGCAAACAGGAUUAGAUACCCCGGUAGUCCCUGUCUCUUAUACACA